CAUUUUAUGUGGUAUUAAUGAACUGCAAAGGAAUAUGAUUUAUCUUAUUUUAUAUUUUUGCACCUUUGGAAUUCGUUUUCUGAUAGUGGAAUAAGUUUGUGUUUACUUUGAGAAAAUUAGAGUGUUCAAAGCAGUCUUACGGCUUAAUAUUAAAGCAUGGAAUGAUAAAUAAUGACAUCGGUUAAUUUUUGUUGGUUUGAGAGGCUGAUGUAAUGAUUUAUAGAGUUAGUCGGAGGUAUUAGUAUUUUGUCGUUAGAAGUGAAAUUCCGGGAUCGACAAAAGACUAACAACUGCGAAAGUAUUUGCCUAGAAUUUGCUCCUUGAUCAAGAACGUAAGUUGGGGGAUCGAAGACGAUCAGAUACCGUCGUAGUCUCAACUUUAAACUAUAUCAGCUAGGGGUUGGCAAAUGUUUAUAUGACUUUGUUAGAACCUUAUGAGAAAUCAAAGCGUUUGGGUUC
rnacentral:rRNA from 1 species